UACUCUGCCAUGGACUGUUCCUGGUCUGUGAUGGCCUUUUGGUAUGCUACUCUGCCUUGGGGCCAGCCAGUUAUGGACUGAAACCUCUAUAAAAUGACAAUAAGAACCUGGAAACCCCUCUAGAAGGACUCCCCGGAACCUGGUAACAUGGCCACUUGUUAGCUGUGUGACUUGGGACAAGUUAUUUCACCUUUCUGGACUUUAGUUCCUUCACCUCGAUAAUGACCACACCUACAUGAGGAAUGGAAUGAUAUGCAUUGAAAUACCGAUGGCAGUACCUGUCACAGGAUGCAUUUUCGAGCAGGCAUCACCUGAAGCUGAGGGGAAGCCCUACUAGGCCCAGGGAGCUGCCUGGAGGAAGACUCAGGCAACGGAACUAUCUGAAGGAUCCCUACUGACUGCUUUAGCAAGGAUGGGGUGAUCAUGCUGAAGGUCAUGAAGUACUAGCUGCUAAGCCGGAGAGUCUGCCCUCAACCCUGAAGGUGCAGAUACUGUGCAGGAGGUAAAAUCAUUAGUCAAGCUCAUAUGUAGAGGAUUAUGCCCAGGAAAGGGUCUUCUCCCUCAGGGUUUGAGAUGAAUAUUGGCCGUUUGUCUUGGCUACCAGCAUUUGGGUGUGCUUUUUAUUUGUUUGUUUUGGGAAUUUUUCACUUUAUGAAUAUUGAUGUGAAACAGACUUUUGGGAAAGCUGAAAAGAUGGGCAUUUACUCUUUAGCUGAGACAGGGAUGUGUGACCACAGUCUGAGCAAUCAGAAGGUAAUGUACUCAUGUGACCAUAUCUGACCAAUCAGAAGGUAUUCAUGUGACCAUAGUCUGACCAAUCAGAAGGUACUUGCAUGACCUUUUGAUUUUUUCAUUUCCUUCCCCUUUCCUCCUCUCCUCCCUUCUUUUUCUC